UACGUAGGGGGCAAGCGUUGUCCGGAUUAUUGGCGUAAAGAGCGUGUAGGCGGCCUGGUAGGUCUGCUGUGAAAACUCGAGGCUCAACCUCGAGAUGUCGGCGGAAACCAUCUGGCUAGAGUCCGGAAGAGGAGAGUGGAAUUCCUGGUGUAGCGGUGAAAUGCGCAGAUAUCAGGAAGAACACCAAUUGCGAAGGCAGCUCGCUGGGACGUCACUGACGCUGAGACGCGAAAGCGUGGGGAGCAAACAGG
rnacentral:rRNA from 1 species